CAAUAGCGUAUAUUUAAGUUGUUGCAGUUAAAAAGCUCGUAGUCGGAUUUUGGCUGAGAACGAUCGGUCCGCCGUUAGGUGUGCCCUGAUUGGUCUCAGCUUCCUGGUGAGGAGGUGUGCUUCACGGCCACUUAGUCACCGUGGUUACUUUGAAAAAAUUAGAGUGUUCAAAGCGGGCUUACGCUUGAAUAUAUUAGCAUGGAAUAACACCAUAGGACUCCUGUCCUAUUUCGUUGGUCUCGGGACGGGAGUAAUGAUUAAGAGGAACAGUUGGGGGCAUUCGUAUUUCAUUGUCAGAGGUGAAAUUCUUGGAUUUAUGAAAGACGAACUUCUGCGAAAGCAUUUGCCAAGGAUGUUUUCAUUGA
rnacentral:rRNA from 1 species